rnacentral:rRNA from 1 species
UCCAGACUCCUACGGGAGGCAGCAGUGGGGAAUAUUGCACAAUGGGGGAAACCCUGAUGCAGCAACGCCGCGUGAAGGAAGAAGGCUUUCGGGUUGUAAACUUCUUUUAAGAGGGAAGAGAAGAAGACGGUACCUCUUGAAUAAGCCACGGCUAACUACGUGCCAGCAGCCGCGGUAAUACGUAGGUGGCAAGCGUUGUCCGGAUUUACUGGGUGUAAAGGGCGUGCAGCCGGGCUGACAAGUCAGAUGUGAAAUCCCGCGGCUCAACCGCGGAACUGCAUUUGAAACUGUCAGUCUUGAGUACCGGAGAGGUCAUCGGAAUUCCUUGUGUAGCGGUGAAAUGCGUAGAUAUAAGGAAGAACACCAGUGGCGAAGGCGGAUGACUGGACGGCAACUGACGGUGAGGCGCGAAAGCGUGGGGAGCAAACAGGAUUAGAUACCCCUGUACG